CCAGAGGAAAAUUAUUUCAUCAAAGCGAUUUUUCUGUAUUGAUUUUUUUAUAAAAAAAAUUGAUGUGUCCUUUUGAAAUUUUUGACAAUUUUUUGUUUUUUUGCAUUUUGGCUAUCGACUCCUAUAUAAUCUAUGAAAGUAAUAAAAAUAUUAUUUAGGAAUUAACUACUCUGAGAAAUUAGGUACUACCAAUUGAAGAACUGCAUAGAAUUUUUUUUUUGAAAGGAAUAAGUUUUUUUGUUGUGGCAUCAAUUUCUUAUUCGUGACUCUUCGUGUAUAACUAUAAUUUAAUUUGAAGAUAACGUCUUUGAGUGUGGCCAAACUCCAAAGGUUUGAUGUGGUGUUGCUUAUAUAUGGGUACUUCUAGCGCUAUAAUACAAGUUCUUUUAAAUAAAUUUUUUGCUUGGAGCCUUUUAUUGAAUAAAUUGUGGUCCAUACAUAUAAAAAAGCCCAUGGCCCAAUAAUAACGAAAAUACAGAAUACCUAAUUUUUUCCAAUCUCUACUCAUCCUUGGUGAGUACACAAUACUCUUUCAUCCACUUUCUCCACUGCAUUGUCGCAGAAAAUUCUAGUUGUUCUGCCUCCUCCUUUGAAUCAUUUUUGAGCUCGAGUGGUGUUCAUUGUACCUGAUGUAGAUCUCGUGAUGUAUCUUUCCCUUGAAACAUUCUAAAGCUCCAUUGGUUCAAGAUGAAACCAUUGAGGAUUGAAAAUGAGGUCGAUUCUAAUAUGAAGAAUGCUAUCGAAUAUAUGUUUAUCACGCCUAGUGCUAUUGAUAAGGGACAAGGACGAGGGCUUAAAUCUUUGGAUGAGAAAUGAAAUUUACCAUCUAAGAGUAUAUUUCCUCAAUCAAGUGAUCUAUUUGGGAAGCACAUCAAUGAAAUUGAAACAAGUUCUAUAGGGAAGGAACAGGAACAAGGACUUAAAAACACUACCGUGUCCACUAGUCAAGGAAAACGAGUGACACAUAAGAACUUCAUGACUUUUGAGAAAGAGAACGUUCAAAUUAGUACUUCAUCUCCUACAUCUACUAAUAAAGUAAAGAAAUACUCCCAAGAAGUUGAAACAAGAACUUGAGUUGAUUGAGAAAUGUUGUCUAUCGUUGCAUGCAAAAUUAGUGAAUGUUCAAAGAAUAGUUUGGCGAGGAGACGAGGUAAGGUAAGGCGACUGUAGAAAAUUUUUGCAACCAUAAUUUUUUUAUGAUGGCUCUGUUUUUAAAUUUUAAGCUGUAUAAAUUUUAUUUUUAAAAUUUCUAUACUGCGCAAAACUUGCAAGCAGAUGCUCAAUUUUUUUAUGCUAGCUCAAUUUUAAAUUUUUGGCACUGCUACAACAUUUGUUUAGUAGAAAUCAAACGAAAGCAUGGAAAAAUUGCAGUGCUGAAAAAUUGCAGCCAACUGCUCAGUUUAGUAGAAACCUAACGAAAGCAUGGAAAAAUCAAAGAUGUAUUGACAACUAUAAUGUUCAGUUACAAGCUCCUUAUAUAGGAGAAGAGUCCUAUUGUAGUUAUACUAGGAAUCCUAAUACAACUGAAAUAAUUACAUCGGUAGUAUUUUAUUACAAGUCAAAUAAGUUAUCCAAGUCGACUCCAAUAAUAUUCAGUAGCUUAGUCAUACAUUACAUAGAAUUUAGUUGUCUAGUCCUAAUAUGAAUUAACUCUAACUCGUAAGCCUGCUUUGGUGGAUCUGUUCCUUCGACGUGUUCCAUCAGUCGCCAAGUUUCCUUCAACACAUCCCCUCAAGCUAGUGAAUGGAGGAACUCUAACUCCUAACUAGCUACAAAAUAAGAGAAAACCUAUUGUGUUAAGGCUUUGGUGUUAAUAUCAGCUUUUGAUCCUUACACUUCACAAACUGAGUAAGAAGUCAUCCCCUGGCCACUUUCUCAUGAACAAAAUGACAGUCCAUUUAAACAUGUUUUGUUCUAGCAUACAUAACUGGAUAAUUAUCUUGUACAAGACACUUAUAGUAUCACAAUACAUUGUAGGAACAGAUCAAAAUAACAUUCCAAGGUCAUAAAAAAAGAUACAAAAUCAAAUUCAUUUAUGCAGCAGUGGAGGCUAGCUCUCUAUGCUCUGUUUCAGUACUAGAUCGGCCUAUUGUGUUCUGUUUCUUAAAGGUCGAAAAAAUACAAUUUGCACCUACGUUGAUGCUAUAGCCUAUAGUUGAUCUCCUAGUUGUUGUACAACCUCCCAAAUCAGCAUCAGAGUAGCCAUACAACCUACAUGGUGAUUGUGAAAUAAUUCUGAGUCUAAGGUGUAUAGUUCCUUUGAUGUACCUGAGAAUCCUUUUUACCCCUUGAAGAUGUUGAAUGUUUGGGCUUUGUAUAAACUAGCCUUCUAAAUUCACAUCAUGAGUGAUAUCAAGUCUUGUAAGGAUCAAGUAUUGAAGUCUCACAACUAUCAUUCUCUAAAAGAAUGCAUCUACAUGACUUCCCACAACUUCAUCCAAACCAUGUUUUUACCCAAAGAAGUGGCUACAACAUUUGCCAAAGUCAUCUCUGUCAUGGACUACAACUCAAUAACAUACUUGAUUUGAUUUAAGUUAAUUCAACCUGCGAAAUACUUCACCUCAAUUCUUAGGAAGUAACGUAAUGGGCCAAGAUCUUUCAUACCAAACUCCUUCCCAAGUUGUAGAACCAACUCUGAGACAUGAGGUGGAUUACUUCCUUUGACAAUAAUAUUAUCUACAUAUAACAAGAAAAUAUUUUGCCUUUGUGAGUUUGCAAAGUAAAUAAGGAAGGGUCAGCCUUAUUACAAAUGAAACCAAGGUGUAAGAGAUGCAUACGAAACAUAUCAAACCAAGAACUUGGUGCAUGUUUAAGACCAUACGAUGCCUUUUUAUGUAGACAUACAUGCCGAUGAUACUGUGAUCAAUAAAACCAAGAGGUUAACUCAUGUACACAUCCUCUUGUAAGAAACCAUGGAGAAAGACAUUUUUUGACAUCUAAUUGUCUAACUUCCCAAUUUGAACUGACAGCAACGGGUAGAACCACCCUAACAUUUGUAGCAUUAACUACAAGAAUAAAUGUUUCUUCAAAAUCUGUCAAUUCAAAUUGCGAGAAUCCCCUAGCCAUAUGUCUGGCCUUGUAUCUAUCUAAUGUCCCAUCAAAAUUUUUAAUUUUGUCUAAACACCCAUUUUACCCAACCAAGUUUAUAUCAGGAGAUUCGGGCACCAAAAUCGAUAUUUUGUUAGUAUGUAAAGCAUUAAUAUCUUCGUGCAUUGCUUCAAGCCAUUGAGGUUAUUUUAGUGCUUCCUUAGUAGUAUUUGGUUCUCCCACAAUUUUUGUUCUACUGCGAGCAACAAUUGACAGGUGAUGUUCCUUCUCCUUCUGCCUGGUGAUCAUAUGAUGCCCUUGUGGUUCAGGAAGUACCUCAGCCGGUACAUCAACCAAUACAGUUGACUGGAGUGUAUCAUUGUCAGGUUGAUUGUAAAUCGGUACAUAACCUAAAGUUGUUCUUUGAUGAUGAUCACUGUUUUGAAUUGGAAGAGAAACUCGUUCCUCACUGCUCCUGAGAGAUUCAAAAUCUGUAAUUGGAGUUUCAACACUACUAUAUGGGUCACCAGCUUCAACUUGUUCCUUAGAAUCUGAUCCUGCACCUGAGAGGUUAAUAAUACUUCUCAUCAUCAAUGAGUACAUGAGGUGUCGAAACAUUAUCACUAUUAAUGUGUGGUCUAGAAACAUGUACUUCGUUUGAAUCAAAAUUAUCAUGUGCUAGCAGUUUAAAGAAAGAUUCAACAAAAGUAGCAAGGUGAGGUGAGACAUCAAUAUUAGUUUGAGAUUGCUUUAGAGACACAUAGGGUAAUGUGUUUUCAUCAAACACAACAUGUAUUGAUAUGUAAACCCUCAUUGUACAGGGAUCAUAGCCUAUAUAUCCUUUGUGUAAGUUGUUGUACCCUAUGAACACACAAGGGUAGGUUUUUGGACCGAAGUUAUAUAGGACCAGAGUUAUAUUCUAGUUAUACUAGGAAUCCUACUACAGCACAAAUAUUUACAUGGGUAGUAUUUUAUUACAAGUCAAAUACCCUAACUUACUCGACUCCAAUAAUGGUUAGUAGCUUAGUCGUACAUAAAACAGUGUUUUGUAGUCUAGUCCUAGUAUCAUUCUAACACUAACUCGUCAGCCUGGUUCGAUGGACCAGUAACUUCGACGUGUUCCAUCAGUCUUGAAGCUUCACUGAAUAGUUUACCAUUAGUUUCCAACUCUAAUAUUUAUUGGCAAUAUUAGUGCACUCCUUGUUGUAUGAUCUAGACAUCUAAAAAAAAUAGUUAAUAUCAGUCGAAUACUCCUAAUUUUUUUUCUUUUCGAUAUCAAAUAAUGCAAACCAUAGUAAACAGGAAGAAUGUUAUUUAAGAUUUCAUACCAAAUAUUACCUUGUCUAGGCUUUUAUUCAACAUGAGCUCAUAUACCAUAAAUUUUCCGCUACAUUAAAUCAAUAUCCAAAUAAAUUGAUUAGGUAACAAUGUAGUUGCUUUUCUAUUAACUUGACUUCAUUGUUGAAUUUAGUAAAUUUUUGGCGUGAAGUCAUGUCUUGCUUCUUCACUGCUAUUUCUACUAUAUUCUCUAGUACACUCUACAAAUAUUAUGUACAAGUUUGCUAUUAAUUAUUGUGUCUGAGUUACUGUAAAUAUGCAUUUUCAUGCUUGUUUAAAAGAAAUAAUAACCUUAUAAACAUUGUCAAAUCCAUCAUGCCCUAUCUUAUAAAAAAAAGGUGAACUACAAAUAAGAUAGGGCAAGAUGGCUUUGGCAAUGUUUAUAAUGUUAUGAUUUCUUUUCAACAAGCAUGAAAAUGCUUAUUUACAAUAACUAAGAUGGCAAAAUUAAUACCCGAAUGAUAUAUAAUAUAUGUAGGGUGUAUUAGAGAAUGGGGAGUAGAAAUAACAGGGAAGAAGCAAGACGUGACUUCACCCAAGGAUAUACAGAGUUCGAGAAUGAAGUCAAAUUAAUAGCAAAUGUACAACAUCGUAACCUAACCAAGUUGUUGGGAUACAACAUUAAUGGAGUAGAAAAAUUCCUAGUCUAUGAGUUCAUGACGAAUAAUAGCCUAGGCAAGGUCAUAUUUAGUAUGAUAUCUUAAAUAACAUUCUUCUAUUUACUAUUGUCGGUGUUGUUUUUGAUAUUGAAAAGCCACAAAAAAUAGAAAUUAGAGUAUUCAAGUGAAAUUUAGCAACUGUAUUCUCUACAUGUAUAAAUCCUCCAACAAGCAGUAUAGUAACAUGGACAAUGAGCAGCUGGCUAUAAUUUUUGAACAGUGAAGAAGUUACAAAAACAGAGCAUAAAAAACGAGCAACUGGCUGCAAUGUUGCAACAGUGCAAAAUGUUUUUACAAAAAAUUUAUGCAGCCAUCGUUCAAUAAAAUACAUCCACUGAUAAUGAUUGGGUCCAAAAAUUUAAGCUUCAGUAGCUAAAUAAACAGGUAAGUUCACCAUGAAAUCAAAAAAAGAAGGAGGUGUGACUUUUUCUAACUAGCAAAAUGUUUUGGGUAUUUAUUCUUAAAUAGGUUCCAAGAUUUCAAUUCUCAACUCUUUUGAUUCAAGAAAACUAAAAAUAUUAAUAAUUCAAUCAGCGGCUCACACACUUCUUUAGACAACAAACGACGAAGUGCAAGAUGGAGUAGAUGUUGCAACAUAAUAUGAUAAUCAUGACUUUUCAAUCCAGGUAUCUUGUGAUCAUUUAAUUCACAUACUGAGAAAUAUUAGAUGGAAAUCAUCAAAAAAAUUUAGAUUCUUUAAGAAUAGUCACAAAUUUGUGCUUAUCUUUUAUGAGAAUAUGUGUAGCCUGCUUUUGGAAAGUCAAAUUUCUCCCCCUUUGGAUGGGGUGCAAUUACGACCUAAUGUUCAUCUCUUGCAAGUCUAAUAGAGUUUUAAUUGUGUCCUUGGUCUUUUUUUGACAUUCAUAUAUGUCCCCAUGAUAUUAUCACGUAUAUUUUUUCAAUAUACAUAACAUCCAAAUUAUGUAGCAACAAGAGACACUUCCAAUAUGGAAGUUCAAAAGAGAUAGUUUUUUAUUCCAAUUAUCCAUUCAAUUUCAUGUGAUUUCUUCUUUCUUAUCUUAGGAUCCAUUGAUAAAUGUAAUUCUUCAAGAUCUUGCACUUGAUUAAGUAUCUCUAUAAAGAACUCACUUUUGGUGGGGACAUUUUCUCUAUUGUACCAUCAAAUGAGUCCUUCUCACUUCUAAAGUUGUGAUUCUGAGAAAGAUAACGCCGAUAACCUGUAAAACACUGUUUCUUACAAUUAGCCUAUUGAAUUAAGACAGUUCCUUUACGGCAA